CUAAGAAGGCGCAGCAGGAUCUGGACAUAAAAAAGUGAGGUUAGCUAAUAUUUUACCUGACGUUUUUAAAUUGUACUGGGUAAAUGAUAAUUGAUGAUAGGGCUUGUAAAAUGACUCAACUAUUCUUGACUGUGACCCAUUUAUUAUUAUUUUUUUUUUAAAAGAAAACUACAAUAAUGAAUGAUGGAAAUUUAUUGUUAUUCAUUUUGAGAGUCGUUCACUGUAAAUGAAAUUUGGGAGAAAGAGAUUAAUUGAAGCCUGUUUGGUGUAUGGGUGAUUAAUUAGCCACAAAAAUGGCCUCUGUGUUUAAAGGACUCUGUUUGUUCGUACAUUUUUGAGGUUGAAUUGUUUGUAUCAGUUGGAAAACAGGGAUGAUGCGUCCAUGUCCAUUUCUCAGUUUCAAAUCCCAUAUGAUAUAUAAGAACACACUUUGAAGAUGAAUUAAAAAAUCAUAGAUGUUGUAUUACUAUUAUUAUAUAAAUAUCAUUUAAUUAUGAAAUUUAUAAAUUUUAAUUUUUUUUUUUUUUU
rnacentral:lncRNA from 1 species